CCUGGCGGCCGUAGCGCGGUGGUCCCACCUGACCCCAUGCCGAACUCAGAAGUGAAACGCCGUAGCGCCGAUGGU
rnacentral:rRNA from 8 species